rnacentral:rRNA from 1 species
UACGUAGGGGGCAAGCGUUAUCCGGAAUGAUUGGGCGUAAAGCGUCCGCAGGUGGCUGUGUAAGUCUGCUGUCAAAGAGCAAAGCUCAACUUUGUAAAGGCAGUGGAAACUACACGGCUAGAGUGCGUUCGGGGCAGAGGGAAUUCCUGGUGUAGCGGUGAAAUGCGUAGAGAUCAGGAAGAACACCGGUGGCGAAGGCGCUCUGCUAGGCCGCAACUGACACUGAGGGACGAAAGCUAGGGGAGCGAAUGGG